CGGACGGGCGAGUAACGCGUGGGUGACCUACCCUGUACACACGGAUAACAUACCGAAAGGUAUGCUAAUACGGGAUAAUAUAUUUGAGAGGCAUCUCUUGAAUAUCAAAGGUGAGCCAGUACAGGAUGGACCCGCGUCUGAUUAGCUAGUUGGUAAGGUAACGGCUUACCAAGGCGACGAUCAGUAGCCGACCUGAGAGGGUGAUCGGCCACAUUGGAACUGAGACACGGUCCAA
rnacentral:rRNA from 1 species